rnacentral:lncRNA from 1 species
AUGGUAAUAUUGCACCCUUGGGAAUUGGUUACUUACUUAUCGGGACAACAAUGAGUUGUCGGUAUUGCGGGCUACAUACCGUAGUAUCAAUAACUUAUUCGUUGGGUUCAUUAAGUUAGUAUACAAUUACGCCGUCUACGUUAGUAUUUUCAUCUAUUUGUUUAUAUAGUUAUAUAUUUAUUUAUUUAUUUUUAGGCGUGACCCAAAGAUACUACACCCUUAUUUUCGGAGUACGUGACGCUACGAGUGCGUAGGUGAAAUUUUUCUGUGUUUAAUUUGGAUUUCAAUAUAACUAUUUUAAAAUUUUCAUGAUAUUAUAUAUGUAUUUUUUACGAUGCGUUAUUAUGUAUAUAUUUGUGACCUUAUGCUUUUUUAAAGGUAUUACAUUAUAGUAUGGUGUUGAAGGAGAAGGAAAGUAUGAGUUUGGGGGGCAUGAAAGAGGAAUCACUGCACUCCAAUCGCAACGGAAUGGCAUUCUCUUUUAUGCAACCACUCUAGCUUGAUUUCUUCCUUAUAUAUACUUUCUUCCUACCUAUAUGGAGUAUAUUAUGUAUAGCAAAUGAUUUCAAAUUUUAGGGACAAAAUUUUUUUAAGGUGGGUAGAUUGUGACAACCCGUCCCUAAUAUUACGAUCUUAUUAAUUUUAAAUGAGUGAAUUGAUGAUAAUGUCCCUGGAGGCGAGGUUGUUGACUUUCAUUGACCAUCUGUUCAUGAUGUGUAUAAGCUACUACUUUAGCAUAUUCUCGAAGUACUCGACGAUACAAACGCAUAGGCGCAAGCUGAAGGGAAAUCUAUGAGAUUCAUGUAUGAGAUUUCUAAAUGACUAUCAUGCAUAUCCAAAACAAUUUUGAUAUACGAAAGCAGUGGAAGCAUUUAUAACAUAUUAUCAAAGCUAUAGUCAUGCAAAUCCCCUUCAAGGUUCAUAGGUUUAUAUAUA